UACGUAGGGGGCAAGCGUUGUCCGGAUUUACUGGGCGUAAAGAGCGCGCAGGCGGUCGGUCAAGUCGCGUGUGAAAGCCCCCGGCUCAACUGGGGAGGGUCACGCGAUACUGAUCGACUCGAAGGCAGGAGAGGGUAGUGGAAUUCCAGGUGUAGCGGUGAAAUGCGUAGACAUCUGGAGGAACACCGGUGGCGAAGGCGGCAUCCUGGACCGGUAUUGACGCUGAUGCGCGAAAGCCAGGGGAGCAAACGGG
rnacentral:rRNA from 1 species